UUUUCAAUAAAUGACCAAGUCCAUUGGAUGAGGCCAAGACCAAGUCCAUUGUAAAAGUUUGAACUCAAAUGAUCUUAGUCGUUUGUUUUUCUCGAGACGUGAUGCUGAUCUGAUCUCGAGACGUGGUGCUGAUCUGAUCUCGAGAUGUGAUCCGUAAAAGACAGAAAAAAUUGAUAACGGUAAGAUGUUUUAUAAAAAUUAAUCGUUUUUUCCUUGUUGAUGAUACAGAACCGCUUCCACCAACAACACCUGAACUCGACGAGCACACGAGAGAAUUCAUCGGGUUUCCAAGUGAACUAGACGAGCACAGUCUUGAGAAAGCCCCUCAUAGAUGUGAUGUUGAUCUGACCUCGAGAUGUGAUGUUGAUCUGCUCUCAAGAUGUGAUCUGUAAAAGACAAAAAAAAAUGAUAACUGUAAGAUGUUUUAUGAAAAUUAAUCAUUUCUUCCUUGUUGAUGAUACAGAACUCGCUUCCACCAACAAUACCUGAACUCGGCGAACACACAAGAGAGAGAAUUCAUCGGGUCUUCAAGUGAACUUGACGAGUACAGUCUUGAGGAAGCCCCUCAUAGACUAAAGAGCUUAGGGACGACGAGUGUAAGAUUCACGAGUCGACCUCCCUGAGAACAAAUGAAGGGCCCAUUACAAAACUCGUCGAGUGGCUAAACCACAGUCGACGAGUCUGGUAGUGGGAACCCCUAACUGCUCUGUUCGUGUAAUUACAACAUCUACCCCCACGGAAUCCUAUAAAUAAGACUGGGAGACCCUUAUUUCAAGGGUCCACAUACAUUCUAACAAGAGUCGUCAGAGCACUGGAAAAGAACGGGAAUAGAGUUGUAAACUUGAAGUCGUAGACUCCAUUAGAGUCGUCGAGUGCUGUUGAGAUUUCACCUCAACACUUCCUGCCUUGCUGUGUGAAAUUAUUUUUUUAGUUCGAAUUUUGUUUUAUCAAACUUAUAGUUUAAAAAAUCUUUAUCGUGAACAAUUGAGCUAAUCUUAGAAAAACUCGAAUCCUGAACCUUCAGAAACUUUAAUAGUUAUUGUGAUCAAUUGAGCUAAUUUGCCUGUAACAUAUUUAAUUUGUUCGAACAGUGCGAACUAGGUCAAGACCUGAAGGGUAUGGGUCCAUAGCCAUUUUCUUCACUAAUCUUAUGACCAAAUGAUCAUCUCAUAUUGAGUAUAUACCAAACAAUCUCUAUUACCAGGAUAUUACAAAUGUUCUCCUCCUUCUACAUUCAACCUAAGGGUAUUUAUACACUUUCCUACUGAACUGCACCUUCUUUCACUGGUCAAGUAGGCCUGCUGAGCCUGGUCAGAGAUGGGCCUGGUCUGAUGGACCAGGGGUAUCAUCACCAAAGUAUUAAAAAAAAUGGUGAUCAAAUCAACAUCACUAGAUUUCUUGAGCGAAACAACCUAAUUAAUUAAAAUCAAAUCAAAAUCUUUUUUUUUUACUUGUUUAUUAUAAAACGUUUUAUUGAUGGUUAUUGUUUGAGAAAUUAAACAAUCAUCUUGUCAUUAAAUAUAAAAAUUAUUAGAAAAAAUAAUACAAAGAUCACCAUUUAUAUUUUAUAAUCUUCAUUUUAUUUUUUAUAUGCAUUAAUUAUUGAAUGAAUUUUCAAUUUUAAUGUGUAAUUAAAGAAAAAUCAAUCACCAAUUUAAUUUUUUUCUUUCUUUCUUCCAAUUUUAAGUUAAUCCCCUCACCUGCUACCUGUGGUUUGGUUUAGAUUUUAAAGGUUGAUUUCCCUGUCAUCAUCUCUAAUUUUCAGUGAGAGCACUCCUGUUUAGAUUUUAAAGAUUGAUUUCCCUGUCAUC
rnacentral:lncRNA from 1 species